AAGAUGUAUACCUUGGGGUGUACCUCCUCAAUCAGUACCUGGAGACUGACUGCUUUCCCUCUGUGUUCCCUAUUAUGAUUCAGCAGAACAUGAGGUUUGAAAAGGUAUUUGAAAAUGCAACAGAUCCUGGGGCUGUAGCAGACAUUUUAGAAAGCUUCCUAACCAGGUUUGAAUUAAUACAGCUAGUAUCUCCAGUGUGGGAAGAACUGGCUUGCUAUGAAGACAACACACGGGACUUUCUUUUUCCCGAACCCAAGCUGACGCCUUCGCUCCCUGGGAUGUGCAGGGAGGUGCUCAUGAAGACAUUUGCAGGUUUUCCAGGCAUUGCUCCCAAAAUAGAAUUUUCUACAAGGACAGCCAUCAGAGAACGUGUGUUUCUGCAAAGAAACAGAUUUCCUGAAGAAAGACAUAAGUCAAGGAGGCCUUUAUCUACAACACAGGGCCCAAAACUCCCCUUAAAUAAUGCGAAGAUGAAGCCAAAGGAGAAUAAUUUCAACAGACUGCCCCAAAACACGCAAUCCCGUGCACCUUCUCCCUGUUCCACCAGGGGCAUCUCUCAGGACCAGCCAGCUCAACAGAACCCUGGAAAUAACCUCAGAAUCUCUGGGGGAAGCAAGCCUCCAUUUGUAGUUAGACAUGUGGACAGUGCCAAGCCGUUUGGUGAGGAUAUUUCAGAGUAUCAGUCCCAGAAGUCUAGAAGAAAACUUAAGUUUUCAGACUUGCCUUUUCCAGGGAGAAGAGCUUCUUCUCUUGACAGCCUUGCCGUUAACGUAAAGGUUAUCAAAGAGCCAGAUGAACGGAUUGUUUUAAGGAAAGAUUCACCAUCAUCUUUAGAUUCAAGUAAGUUUGGAAAACCCUCGCCCAGUUACAAUAACCAAGGGGAUGCUGAUCUUCACCCGGAAGCUUCAUUGGCCACCUUCCAGCACUCCAGAUCCCCCAGCCCUCUUCUGGAUCAGCCUGUUUUCCGAGAAAGCAGGUUCAACCCUUAUUCUCAGAACACGUGGAGGAAGAUCCAUGAAAGGGUGUGCAGUCUCCUGACAUCCCACAGAGCUCAGCAACACCUACACAAGGAAUAUCCUAUCUCUGAAGCAAGUUAUAUCUUUGAACAACCAAGCUACCUGCUGAAGAAAUACCCAGUGCAUGAACAGAGAUAUUUUUAAGCUGCUGUCUUAUGGGAAUCUGAAGGAAAGCUGGAGGAACGUCGUGAAGAUCUCUCUCAAGGAGCCUACCCCCACAUCCUUAGAGAAAUGAACAACCAUUUUUGUUAUGUGUAUCGAAUCACCAGUGUCUCACCCCUUUCAAAUCAAACCCUGUACUCAGUCUUUUGUGGCCAGGAAGCUGCUAUUCAAAGGAAUAACCUGAUAAAUCCUCCAGGAAAAAACUGUCAAGAAAAAAGUCAAGAAAAAAGAUUUUCUCUUUUUGGUAAAUCUGGUUUUUUUUUUGUUUGUGUUUUAGUGUUAGGCUUGAGUAUUGACUCAAAGUCCCCUGAAAAGUUAGGAAGAGGGAGCCUUACAUCUGGAGAAUUCAUAUCUUGCUCUAAAGUUUCACUUUCUAGGACACAUUUGUAAGAGGAGACUAGUUUCUUUGAAUUGUAGUUUAAUCCACUCCUGUCAUCUACCCCUCCCCGCCCCCACCUUUUCUCCAGUGGUGCUUUAAUAUAUUUAUAUGAGGAACAAAACCUUCCUCAAAUAUUUCUCUGAAAUAUUUGCUUUAAUUAAAUACACUCUGCAGUGGUGCUUUAGUUAAAUACAUUCUGCAGAUACGACUGCCAAAACCAGAUUUAAAAUGAGCUAGAAGGGUGCCCUGGUGAAAUGCUCAUGUGGACUGAGGGAGCGCAAGGAGGCUGGGCCCGGGUGAUGUGGGGCUGGAGAUAGGCUUGAGCAGAGGGGCCUCAAAACGGGAGCCUUGGUCUUUCCUUCACAUUACAACCUGGCUUUCCUCUACUAUACCCUAAAUCCCUUUUUGUUUUCACAGGAUUCAGUGAGAGUCAAAUUUCCUUCUUUCAUUAUGAUCACAGGAAUUGGUUUGUUAGGUAAAUUCAGAAAACAACAUUAAUAAUUAAAGGAGGAAAAAAUCCUACAAAAACAAUAAAACAAAGUUCAUUUAUUUUCUCUUCUCAGACUUUAAGCCAAGUAAACACAACAAGCAUUUCAUCCACUUCUGGAAAACACAAAUGCUCAAUUACACUUGCUUAUCUGUUCUGGGUGUGUCUGGGACUAUAGUUGUCAGUUUGCUAUUUUGACGACUAGUAGUCAUCAAAAGUAAAAAAAAUACCAUGUUACAUUAAGGCUGUGACACUGUUCUCAGAAAAGGACCACUUAAAAAAGGACAUAAAUAGCUAGAAGAAACCCAGUUUUAGUGGAUGUGUAUCCCAUACGAGUUAUUGUUCAAAUAUACACCAUGACUUCACUGUUUAUUUUUGUUUUUCAAUUUUUAAAAAACAUUUUUAUUUAUUAGAGAGAGAGAGGGAGCAUGAGCAGCAGGGUGGGCAGCGGCCAGGGAGGAGCAGAGGGAGGAGGGAGAAGUAGCUCCCUCCUGAGCAGGGAGCUGGAUAUGGGACUCUAUCUCAGGACCCUGGGGUGAUGACCUGAGCCAAAGGCAGACGUUUAACUGACUCAGCCACCCAGGUGCCCCAGUUCAAUUUUUAUGAAAUGGUUUGAGCAUAACUCCUUGAUUCAGUUUAGGGAUAAGAUCUUAAAUGCCCAUUCUUUUCUGUUUUUUGUUUUGUUUGGCAAAUCUUUUUCUAACUUUCUGAUUAGCUAACUCUGUUGUUUAAAUUAUCCUUAUUUUACCUUUUUAUUCCUCAAGGAAUUGUUUCCAUUUUGAGGAAUCAUAUUGGGACCAAGAUUGCAGUUGAGAAAUUUUGCUUUUGGGGUAUAUAAUGAUGUGAAUAAUUUUGUGAUGAAUUGGGAUUUCUUGGGGAAGA